UUUUAAUGGAGGGGGAAACCACAUGAAGAAAUGCUUUCUGAUGGAGCAAACGCCACAAGGUUCAAAGAAUGAUUCGCACACAGAAUGACAGAUUGAAGCAUCUCAAGUUCGGUUUGUCCAUUUUCACAGUUUCUGCACUAUCAUUGUGCUUUGGUAUCGACUGUUUAAAAGCAGGAAGUGUAGGACCACAGGGGCUAGCGACACAAACUGCACCAAAGCAAGCCCGAGCGAUUCUGAACUACCGGAAACUUACUCUAGAAUUGAAGGUGUGGGGCUGAGUCUGUGUGCGUCAGCAGCCUAUCGCAUAACGAGCCCUCCUUCUAGGGGUAGCCAGCUGCCAUGUUGUCAGUUUCCCCAUGGAGAAGCCCACAUGGCAAGGAAGUGAUGUCUUUGGUCAACAUCUGGUGAAGACUUGAAGUUGGCCAAGAGCCACAUGAGUGUGCUUGGAAGCAGAUCCUCCUUCAGUUGAACCUUGAGAUGAUGGCAGCCCCAGGUGAUGCCUUGACUACAGCUUCAUGAGAGAGACCCAAGGCCCAGCUGGAGCCACUGAGCUCAGCUGUGUCUGGAUGCCUGAUCCACAGACACUGUAAGCAGGGUGUCUGCACUGACAAGAGGGGCCUGGUGACUCCAGGGCAAAUCAUCACCUCUGCGGAGCGGGGAGAGCUGCUGAGCCCGCUUGUGUCAGAAGAACCUGCCAAUUCCUCAGUCAGCACUGGGGGGUGGGUCUAAAGGUGCUGGCCCAUGAAAUAACAAAGGAGAAAGGGAGAAGCUGCCAGAAGCGGUGGAGAGAGCAUCAGUAGCUACAGGAUGUAAGCGAAGAAUGAUCGCUGGUUGUGCAAGACACUCAGCUCCUAAAGGGGCCAGAAGAUGCCAGCGUUACUCCCCAUCAUCACACAAAUACUUGGAGAUGCAGACAGAAGGAUGUUUGGAGAUGCUAACCUAAGAGAUGAAGCCCAGAG